UACGAAGGGCCCAAGCGUUAUCCGGAAUUAUUGGGCGUAAAGCGCAUGUAGGCGGUUUGUUAAGUCUGGUGUGAAAGCUCAAGGCCUAACCUUGAAAUUGCAUUGGAAACUGGCAAACUAGAAUACUGGAGGGGUAAGUGGAAUUCCAUGUGUAGCGGUGGAAUGCGUAGAUAUAUGGAGGAACACCAAUGGCGAAGGCAGCUUACUGGACAGUUAUUGACGCUGAGAUGCGAAAGCGUGGGGAGCAAACAGG
rnacentral:rRNA from 1 species